GCUUAUCACCAUUCCAGAUUGAAUAUAACCGAUCUCGUCUGAUCUCGGAAGUCAAGCAAUCUCGGGCUUGGUUUGUACUUGGAUGGGUGACCGCUUGGGAAUACCAAGUGUGAUAAGCA
rnacentral:rRNA from 1 species